GGGGAACACACCGAGGGCACCUGGUGAGGAAUGGCUCGUACUACUGAAGAACAACACACAGACGUGACUGAAUUUUUCACACGACGUAUCAUAUGUUGGACAUUUAACUUGAAGUUUACUUAAACAUCACGAGAACCAAAUGGCCGACUGCAGACAGCGGACAGCACAGCAGAACAGCGGCCCAGUGUGGCCCAUGUCCCAUCCACUUACAUUGAAGGGGUGGGGAAUAUGACCCAUCCUGCAGCCAGCCACCAGGGGGCGAUCAAGAUAUUUUGGCUUCACUUUUGGGGAGCUUUCAUGUCCUCUAUCUUUUAUUACAUAUGGUCAUGACAGAUACUUAUCUUAUAUACUUAUCAGCCAGCAAUCAUUACUGCAUAUCUGUAUAUGACAAGAUACAGAAGAAAAU